rnacentral:rRNA from 1 species
AUGGCAGCCUCUCAUUAUGCAUACAAUAUACUGAAGAUGCCAGGCCCGAUAAGUGUCAUCUCUGUCUCUGGUGACAAGAAGGAUGCUCUUAUCUGCGCCGACAAGAUCUACCGGGAAGCAGCAGCUGCAACAGAUCGCAGAUCACUUGCCGUUGGAGCUCCUUGGGGAAAGAAGAAGACCAAGUUCGGCAAGAGUUCUGAUUCCCACUCCGGCAAGCGCACCUCUUCGAAGUGCUGCGCUACCGUCGAGGACGCACCAUCGAGCUCCUCCGGCAAGUGUAAGAAAACAAUGGUGGCUCCACCAGAGACCAAGAAGGUGUCCGCCAAGGAGGACGGCACUGGUGGUACUUUCACCAUCAGUGCCACUGUCGACCCUAAAUAG